AUUUCAUAUUUGUAUCAAAGACUGAUUUUAAUCAAAUAAAAUCGAAAUUUAAUAUAUUGGUAUCGUAAUUUUGACUGGAUAUAAGGAUUAUUUAUAUUGAAUUUAAAUCUGGAAUAUUUUUCAUCUGAAUUGAUUUCAAUAUAUAUGCUCCUGACAUUUAAAUCUAUUUGUUAAAACAUGUAUGUGUAAUUAUGGCGUCCGGUGGAAAUAAUGCAAAGGCGAUUAUAUUUUAUGACAGUGAAGGCGCAAACGAAGCGUCUAAAACAGAGGCAGACAAAUUGAGGUUCUUCAUUGAAAAGAAUGGUGGAUACACAUGUCAAACUGACCAUGCAAUAAGAAUACCUUGAACCGAAGUUAUGAAUAACAUUCACAAUUCAAUUAAUCGUUAUGACAGAAUAAUAAUUCUUAUAACAGAUCAAUCUGCUUCAAAAGGAUGGUUCACAUUUGCAGUUGUGUCUUCCUUAGAAAACAUAAUUGUGGAAAAUCACAUGAGACUUUUGGUCGCAUACAAAGGAAAUCGACGUGAAGAUGUUGGGUUCCUGAAAACCGGAUUGCUGUCGUUGACGCCCAAGACGUUUGUCGACCUCACUGAAUGGCAGGGAUAUGAAAGGCUUCUCAAACAACUGAACACUCCAGUGUGUUUGGACGAAGAAUUACCAGCGGGAAACUUGCAUCUUGGCUUGGUCCAUUCCCACAUAUCCGGUUACAUGUGCUAUGUUGCUGAAGAACAAGAAUUGGUUGGAGAAAAGCGAUGGUUACAGAAAAGAACAAAAAACUACUGAUUGGAAAUUUUCUGUUGGUUGUACCAAAAACCUGCGCUGUCCCACAGCAGCUUCCGUCAAAUUCGGAAUCAGGCAUUGUUAUUUCGAAUGUGGAUACAUUUGAGUUUAAGAGAAUACAUGCGGGUAAAAACACAGAGAUUAUGUUGUUACCAUCAACCAGAUAAAGCACGCGAACAACGAGUUGUACGUUUGUGCCCAGGUACCAACUACGAUAACUGCAAUAUCAAAUCUUGCAAAGCAGCACCUUGGGAAAAUAAAUGUCGCCCUCGAGCACCAGCGUUUCUGUCAAUCAUACCAGCAGAUAAUCGAGGCGAAAGGAUGGGGUGACUUCUUGGAAAUCGUUCCAUGUGAAGAUGAAAACGAUAUUCCUGUCGCGUUGUUUAAGGCAGCGACGACAAACAAUACCAAGAAGACUGGGGCAGAAACUUCUCUAAUAAGCUGGAGUUUUGUCCGAUUUUAAAAGGAUGAGUGUUUACAUAUCAUGUUUUGAUAUUGAUGGAGAUUCUUGUGAAGAGAUCGAAAAAGAGCUACAAAAACAUCAUAUGAACAUCAUACGACAUGAAAACACACCAGGAAGAUUCCUGCUCUCAGAUGGUGACAACCGAGAAGGAUGGAUAAUAGUUAUUGUAUCGAAAGAAUCGCUGAAAAGCGAACUGCUUUCUUUCAAUCUCAUAAAAGGCCUGACUGCCGAUGUUGAUGACGGCAGAUUGAGGAUCCUGCUUGUAUUGCGCAGCGGUGUGAAUAUCUCAGAAGUACCAAGAUGUAUUCGUUGGGUUACAGUAUUCAGCGAAGAUGAGAAAUCCUACAAAAACUGGAUUGUAAGAACAAUUUUUUAGGAGAACCAGUAGAUAUUGGCAGGGCACUUCCAGCAGGGGAUGUUAUGUUGGGCCUAUGUCUUGAACUACCUGAAUAUUGUGCUGACGACCAGCAGUUGUAGUUAAAAGAAAAAAGUGCGACGUCCAUGAUUUAGUGAUAGGAUUGAAAAACCGAUAAUAGUGUUUAAAAGAUUUAAACCCGGUAGAAAAGAGACUAGGCCAACGAUUUUGUACUCGCUGUAAUGAAUAUACUACGUACCGAAGUAAUUUGGAAACAGAUAGAUGCGCUCAAAUUUACCACGAGGAUAUUGGAAAAAGAUUAAAGAUAUAUUGUUGCUGAGUAUUGUGUUUAAAAAAGGUCACAUCGUACUGUGAAGAUCUGGGAGGUCCAGACGCCAGCCAUUCGAUGUCAGUAUCAGAUACGCCAUUCUUCAUUAAAACAUUUACAACUCCCUGCAUACUCUAUCCUCGUUUCCCUUGUGAGAAACUGUCCUCUCCAUCGACUCCGUCCGUAAAGCAUCUCCUGUCAACGCUGGCAUAUGCAAUACUGUCAUAAUUUUUGUUUAUACUUAAAUCUAUCGAGAAUAAUAGCCAGAGUUGAUCAUGUAUCUAUGGACAUAAGUACACAGGUAUGGUCUAUUAGUAUUCGAAAAUGCCACGUUGAGCGUGAUUUGUCAUCCAUAUUGAAAAGAACAUUUUUCUGUACUUAACAACUACGCUGUCAAUAGAAAAAACAAAAAUGAGAAACCCUCAAAAAGUUGUCUGGUAUUUUUCAUUUAGCAGACCUUCGUACGAGUUCAUAUUUGCAGUCGAUAACAAAGAAACAUAUACUUAAAAACUAGGUAUCGAUUUAAACAUGGAGUUCGUAGAGCAAGUUCAUGCGGUUAUCACCAUUGAAACCUUGUCAAUUUUAUUGUUUAUACCAUUUAACCAUGUGUACACCAAGUGUGGCUGUAAAUACAUGUAUAAUAAUUUCGUACUAUUCUCCCUUUACUUGAACUAUUGUUUUUCUUCCCUAUUAUACCAAGUGGACUCGCCCAUCCUUAUAAAUUGGAUCAAUUUAUUUCCAAAAAAUUAGGGAUGUCUAGUAUAUUUAUUUUUAUAUUUAGAAUAUUUCAUAAAAAAAUGCCUUUAAGCAAAAAGCGCAGACCCAGAUAAGACGCCGCAUGAUGCGGCGUCUCAUCUGGGUCUAUGCUUUUUACCAAGGCCUUUUUUCUAGACGCUAGGCAUAAAUGGGUUAAUAGCAAUUUAUACAAGACAACGUACAAAUGCUCGCAUUCAUGUUUCAUGCUAAAAUUUCUUAACUACAUGUAUGUAAAAUGUUGUGUAAAUCAUUUGUAAGAUGCCGAAAGGAAAUUUUGAAUAUCUUGUCUUUAAUAUAAAAUUAAUAUGUCAUAUUUAAAAUAAUGAUACAUUUAAAGAAAAGUUCACAGUUAUAUUUUGUGGAUAUUUUAACAGUUGUCGUUGGGAAUGUGGAUAUAGCAAGAUUAUAUCAUUCAAACAUUGAU